ensembl:snoRNA
UGGCCGAGGAUGAAAACCACAGUCUGAUUGGGCAUAGUUCACAUGCUCUGAUGGGUUAAAGGAUUUACCUGAGGCCA